ensembl:lncRNA
GCCUUCCGGCCCCUGCCCCCCCGCCCCGCCCCCCAGCUGCCCCGGGGCGCCGAGAACCGCGGCGACCCUGGACUCGGCGCCAGUGGUGGGCGUGGGCCGGACGGAGCAGCGGGCCUGGAGCUGGGGAGGGGGAAUCUAAGGAGGGGGCAGGAGCACCCCCAGGGAUCCUAGAGGCGAUCCCGGGAUCCUGGUUGGCGUUGGGGGCCGGGUGCGGGAGGGUGAGCCUGCGAGCAUCUCAGCGCCGCACAGCAACGUGCUUCGACCUCUGCAUCUUUGCAGUGGCGCGAAGGGCAGCGCGGCAGGUGCAGGCAGGAGACGCCAAGGGAGAGGAGACGUGGUGCCCCCCCGGAGACUUCCCUAUUACCGCCGCAAAACUGCCCCUGGCGAGCUGUUGGGGUGCCUCGUGUCCGUGAGGUGGGGGCGGGAGAAGUUGGGCAGGAGCUCGGCCGACAGUAACGUAGAAGACACACGUUAAGGGUGGUCUCUCAUCUGCUCACUGAGCUUGUCGCCUCUUCCCGUUUGCCCAUUUAUGCAGCCAGAUGAACUGUAGCCAGUCAUUGCCCUAUGCUUUUCUUAAAGUCAGAGCAUUUUCCCCACAAAUCCUGCCAUAGAUGGGUCCUGGGGGGCGUGCAAGUGACUGUAUCACAGAAACGUAUAGUUCGUCUGAAGACAGGGGAUAGUUUGGCUAGUGUUACACUUCUUACAGAGAUUUUCACUGGCAGCUGCUCUGUGUUCAGGCACUGUGCUGGGUGCCAAUGGAGACAGCGGAGACCACAGCAGAGGACUGCUUUCAUCGUCCAGGUGUUUCCCCUCCCCCACAACCCACAGCUUCAGCUGACCAGAGUUGUUUUCAGGAAAUCGGGAGACACCUCUUAAUCAGUCACUAGGUUGGCAAUGGUAAUCAGAUGGAUUGAGUGCUUCGAUGCCCCCUGCCAAUCAAGAUCACAUUGGUCCCAAGGCUCCCAUCGUGUUGCACCCUGGUCUAUGCUACUUUGCGAUGAGAGUUUCCCAUUCAAAGUGCACCUGAAUUGAAAAUCAGCAUCUUCAUUUGGAACAUCUGUCCUUGAACCUUCAGUUUGGGUCCCAUAUUUGAAACCACUGCUUGGAUUAUCUGCUAAAGACAUCUUUAUCCACAAAGCUUCUCUCUCCUACUUGACAAUCACCUGAGUUUCUCAGACCUCAGGUUGAGCCUUUUUGAGAAUCUCCCCAAGACACAGAGCACAUAUUUUAAGUCUUAUAAGCCCAAACGGCCCUCUAAAUGUGAAGGAAACCCAUCCAGAUGCUUUCUUUGACUGCUAUAGUGACACAAAAUAGCAAUCUGGAUAAUUCAGUGCUUUUGUUGAAGAGACACAUUUUCAUGCCUGUUUUAGUCAGCUUUUGCUACAGAAGCAACACAAACUUUCAGUGGCUUAUAACCACCACCGUUUACUUCUAACCCACACCACAUGGUGGUUGCUGGUUGGCUAAGGUCCUGCUCCAGACAGUGGACCUGACUGCAGGUCUGCUUGUGUUCUCAUUUGGAGGUCCAAGUUGAAGGAGCUGCCCUUCUCUGGGACGUGAUGUUGGCAUAAGGACAGGAGUACAGGAGGCUGAGGCAAGUUAUAAAACUGUAUCCAAAAUUUCUGCUCAAAUAUAGCAUGCAGCAUAUCAUCUCAUAUUCCCUUGGCCAAAACACAUCCUGUGAAGAAGUCAAAAGUCAGUGUGCCAAGGAUAUAAAAUCCUCUUACAGGAAACAGAUGAGUGGAAAAAUCAAGAAUUUUAAUCUAAUCUACCACCUCUAUCCUCUGACAAAACUUUGACGCCAACUUACUUUUCACAUGUUUCCUGGAAAGAAUAUACACAUAUAUGAUUUUGCUUAAAGGCUAUAGAACUAUUUCAUUUUGGAUAAAUACUUCAUCCCACUCUUUCUUUUAUUGAAGAAUCUGCCUCUACUUUUUUUAAUGGAAAAAUUAAUAACUGAAAAGAGGUCCCAUGAGAAGCUAAAUUCAUAAUGAAUUUAUUCACUUUACAAUGUUAAGGCAUGAUAUAUGAUUCUGCCUGUUAAAGUGUGUUUGAUCUAAAAUGGCAUUUAGUUUCAAAAUGGAGAAAAUAUGUGUUGCCAUGUGAAUUCCCACAAGCCUACUGUCUUUUCCAAACUUGAGUAUGAAU